CAGCUCUCUCAGCCUGUCCCCACAGGAGAGGUGUUCCAUCAUGCUCCAACAGCUCUAUAUCUGUCCUGUAUGGAAGAUUCCACAUCCAGACACAGUACUCCAGAAACAAGCAAAGAUGAUUUGAAAAACAACCAAGCAGAAUAAAAUCAGGCUACUGUGGCUAUUAUCAACACGGCUGUUAUACCUCUGUGGCAGAUGUCACUGCAGUUUUUAGCUCAAAGCAUGAAUGUGAGCCCAUUCCAGUUCUUCGUUGCUGUAAGAUGUGCAGCUGAAAAUGGACCUUCAGGAGCUAAUUGGUAAGCACACAGGCUUGAUGUUUUUCUUCAUCUCUCUGUGACAUCCUUGCAACUACCUAGAAGUGCACGCUGCACACAGAAUAGCGAUCAAAGCCAUAUUCUUUAGUCUGCUUCUGUGUAAUCCUGACUCAAGCUUCCAGUCUCAAUUUUUAAAACAUUAUUAAAGUGCAAAUUACAAAAGAUAACACUACUCCCAAGGACAGAAACUAUUAAAAUAAGUUUGCAGUGCUAAAAGAGAAAUAUCAAUCAACGGCCAGAAGCAGCCUAGGAUCUGAAUGAAUUCCAUGCUGUUUGGAGAAACAAGUAAAUGAAACAGAAUUAAUCAGCAGAUGUAAAAGAGAGAGUGAUGCUGAUACAAUAUGGAAAAGAUGUACAAGAGGGCAUGAAACAAUCAGCAUGUGCAUCAAAUCAUCAGCUGGAUACUGUACAGAUGGAAAGAACUCUGAAGAAAUGCUACAAGAUACUUGAAGAGGGUUCAAGCUGGACGUGAA